UAAGACAAGCAAAAUAACACCUAAUCUAGACACAAAUUCGGCCAAACAACAACAACACUUUGGCCAAGACACCCAACCCGUAGAAUAACUUUUUUUUGUAAGAUUUUCGACCUUGGACACCUCUUCUAAUGUUAGGAAACAAAGAUCUAACACUAUAACACAUAAAAUUUACAAGAAAAUUAGGCACAGAUCUCGGCCAAAACAACAAGAAGACAUAAUUUCGGCAAAGACAACAAGAAUGGACAGAUUUGCUUCUUUUUGGAAUUUUCAGUUUUUCAACACCUUUUUUUUUAUUAUUAUUUUUUGAAUUAGAGAGCCCAAGAUUGGUAGUGUAGGAACACACCCAGCCUUAGCUCUGAUACCAAAUGAUACCAAACGGUAUCUAAAA
rnacentral:lncRNA from 1 species